rnacentral:misc_RNA from 1 species
CCGAGUGAGGGCCGCCCCCGGGCGCCCGACCUCCCAACCCUUUGUUUCAACCAACACCUCAGUUGCCUCGGGGGUGACCCGGCCCUCGCGGGUCCGGGGCCCCCGGCGGACAUAUCAACGCUGCAUCCUUGCGUCGGAGUCUUUGAAGCGAAUUCAAUCA